GAUGAACGCUAGCGGCAGGCCUAACACAUGCAAGUCGAGGGGUAGAACACUUCGGUGUUUGAGACCGGCGCACGGGUGCGUAACGCGUAUGCAAUCUACCUGAUACAGGGGAAUAGCCCAGAGAAAUUUGGAUUAAUGCCCCAUAGCAUUACGACUUGGCAUCAAGAUGUAAUUAAAGUUCCAACGGUAUAAGAUGAGCAUGCGUCACAUUAGUUAGUUGGUAAGGUAACGGCUUACCAAGACUAUGAUGGGUAGGGGUCCUGAGAGGGAGAUCCCCCACACUGGUACUGAGACACGGACCAGACUCCUACGGGAGGCAGCAGUGAGGAAUAUUGGUCAAUGGUCGCAAGACUGAACCAGCCAUGCCGCGUGCAGGAAGACGGUCCUAUGGAUUGUAAACUGCUUUUAUACAGGAAGAAACCCUCCCACGUGUGGGAGCUUGACGGUACUGUAGGAAUAAGGAUCGGCUAACUCCGUGCCAGCCGCCGCAGUAA
rnacentral:rRNA from 1 species